GCGUAACACGUGAGCAACCUGCCCCGAAGACCGGGACAACCGAUGGAAACGUCGGCUAAUACCGGAUGCCCUCACCGGAUCGCAUGGUCUGGUGAGGAAAUGGAUUCCGCUUCGGGAUGGGCUCGCGGUCUAUCAGCUUGUUGGUGGGGUAACGGCCCACCAAGGCGACGACGGAUAGCUGGUCUGAGAGGACGAUCAGCCACACUGGGACUGAGACACGGCCCAGACUCCUACGGGAGGCAGCAGUGGGGAAUCUUGCGCAAUGGGGGAAACCCUGACGCAGCGACGCCGCGUGCGGGAUGAAGGCCUUCGGGUUGUAAACCGCUUUCAGCAGGGACGAAAUUGACGGUACCUGCAGAAGAAGGCCCGGCCAACUACGUGCCAGCAGCCGCGGUAAUACGUAGGGGCCUAGCGUUGUCCGGAUUUAUUGGGCGUAAAGAGCUCGUAGGCGGUUCGGCAAGUCGGAUGUGAAAUCUCCACGCUUAACGUGGAGGGGCCAUUCGAAACUGCCGUGACUCGAGUCCGGUAGGGGAGUGUGGAAUUCCCGGUGUAGCGGUGAAAUGCGCAGAUAUCGGGAGGAA
rnacentral:rRNA from 1 species